rnacentral:lncRNA from 1 species
UUCAAGGCUAUUCCUUUCACACCGCUGGCAAAUUCAACCAUUUCCCCAGCUUGAAUCUCGUUCAACCCAUAAACACGUGCAAUCCCAUCUCCAACUGAGACCACUCGACCAAUCUCAUCCACUUGAAAAUUCGUGUAAAAGUUGCUAAUUCUACUUUCUAAUAGAGUCGUUAGUUCAGCAGCUCUCGGAGAGAAUUCCAUGAUUCUACUGAUUUUGGAUAUAAGGGGGAAUACCGCUUUCAAUUUCAAAGAGCUCUAUUUCCGCUAUUCUUAUAGAUCAGAUUCGAGCUUGUACUACUAGAACUAGGAGUUGAGAUAGCGCGCGGAACACCAACACAAUCCUUUGUUAAAUGUCUGCGAGCUCCUUCUUCUUUCGUGAAAGCAUACGAGUCGUUAUGAGUUAG